rnacentral:rRNA from 1 species
UCGCUCCUACCGAUUGAGUGUUCCGGUAAAUAAUUUGGACAUAGGGUUGUUGAUCUCUGUCAAAAACUCUAUAAAAUUUGAUGAGCCUUAUCACUUAGAGGAAGGAG